rnacentral:rRNA from 1 species
UGCAGUCGAACGGUAACAGGAAGCAGCUUGCUGCUUUGCUGACGAGUGGCGGACGGGUGAGUAAUGUCUGGGAAACUGCCUGAUGGAGGGGGAUAACUACUGGAAACGGUAGCUAAUACCGCAUAACGUCGCAAGACCAAAGAGGGGGACCUUCGGGCCUCUUGCCAUCAGAUGUGCCCAGAUGGGAUUAGCUUGUUGGUGGGGUAACGGCUCACCAAGGCGACGAUCCCUAGCUGGUCUGAGAGGAUGACCAGCCACACUGGAACUGAGACACGGUCCAGACUCCUACGGGAGGCAGCAGUGGGGAAUAUUGCACAAUGGGCGCAAGCCUGAUGCAGCCAUGCCGCGUGUAUGAAGAAGGCCUUCGGGUUGUAAAGUACUUUCAGCGGGGAGGAAGGUGUUGUGGUUAAUAACCACAGCAAUUGACGUUACCCGCAGAAGAAGCACCGGCUAACUCCGUGCCAGCAGCCGCGGUAAUACGGAGGGUGCAAGCGUUAAUCGGAAUUACUGGGCGUAAAGCGCACGCAGGCGGUCUGUUAAGUCAGAUGUGAAAUCCCCGGGCUCAACCUGGGAACUGCAUCUGAUACUGGCAGGCUUGAGUCUCGUAGAGGGGGGUAGAAUUCCAGGUGUAGCGGUGAAAUGCGUAGAGAUCUGGAGGAAUACCGGUGGCGAAGGCGGCCCCCUGGACGAAGACUGACGCUCAGGUGCGAAAGCGUGGGGAGCAAACAGGAUUAGAUACCCUGGUAGUCCACGCCGUAAACGAUGUCGACUUGGAGGUUGUGCCCUUGAGGCGUGGCUUCCGGAGCUAACGCGUUAAGUCGACCGCCUGGGGAGUACGGCCGCAAGGUUAAAACUCAAAUGAAUUGACGGGGGCCCGCACAAGCGGUGGAGCAUGUGGUUUAAUUCGAUGCAACGCGAAGAACCUUACCUGGUCUUGACAUCCACGGAAGUUUUCAGAGAUGAGAAUGUGCCUUCGGGAACCGUGAGACAGGUGCUGCAUGGCUGUCGUCAGCUCGUGUUGUGAAAUGUUGGGUUAAGUCCCGCAACGAGCGCAACCCUUAUCCUUUGUUGCCAGCGGUCCGGCCGGGAACUCAAAGGAGACUGCCAGUGAUAAACUGGAGGAAGGUGGGGAUGACGUCAAGUCAUCAUGGCCCUUACGACCAGGGCUACACACGUGCUACAAUGGCAUAUACAAAGAGAAGCGACCUCGCGAGAGCAAGCGGACCUCAUAAAGUAUGUCGUAGUCCGGAUUGGAGUCUGCAACUCGACUCCAUGAAGUCGGAAUCGCUAGUAAUCGUGGAUCAGAAUGCCACGGUGAAUACGUUCCCGGGCCUUGUACACACCGCCCGUCACACCAUGGGAGUGGGUUGCAAAAGAAGUAGGUAGCUUAACCUUCGGGAGGGCGCUUACCACUUUGUGAUUCAUGACUGGGGUGAAGUCGUAACAAGGUAACCGUAGGGGAACCUGCGGUU